UACGGGAGUGGCAAGCGUUAUCCGGAAUUAUUGGGCGUAAAGCGUCCGCAGGCGGCCUCGUAAGUCUGUCGUUAAAGCGUGGAGCUUAACUCCAUUUCGGCGAUGGAAACUGUGAGGCUUGAGUGUGGUAGGGGCAGAGGGAAUUCCCGGUGUAGCGGUGAAAUGCGUAGAUAUCGGGAAGAACACCAGUGGCGAAGGCGCUCUGCUGGGCCAUAACUGACGCUCAUGGACGAAAGCCAGGGAAGCGAAAGGG
rnacentral:rRNA from 1 species